AUUGAACGCUGGCGGCAGGCCUAACACAUGCAAGUCGAGCGAGCGGCGGACGGGUGAGUAAUGUCUGGGAAACUGCCUGAUGGAGGGGGAUAACUACUGGAAACGGUAGCUAAUACCGCAUACCAUCAGAUGUGCCCAGAUGGGAUUAGCUAGUAGGUGGGGUAACGGCUCACCUAGUCGACGAUCCCUAGCUGGUCUGAGAGGAUGACCAGCCAUACUGGAACGGAGACACGGUCCAGACGCCUACGGGAGGCAGAGGUGGGGAAUAUUGCACAAUGGGCGCAAGCCUGAUGCAGCCAGGCGGGGUGUGUGAAGAAGUGCUUCGGGUUGUAAAGCACUUUCAGCGGGGAGGCGUUACCCGCAGAAGAAGCACCGGCUAACUCCGUGCCAGCAGCCGCGGUAAUUC
rnacentral:rRNA from 1 species